UAGUGGCGAACGGGUGAGUAACACGUGGGCAAUCUGCCCUUCACUCUGGGACAAGCCCUGGAAACGGGGUCUAAUACCGGAUAACACUUCCUGCCGCAUGGUGGGGGGUUAAAAGCUCCGGCGGUGAAGGAUGAGCCCGCGGCCUAUCAGCUUGUUGGUGGGGUGAUGGCCUACCAAGGCGACGACGGGUAGCCGGCCUGAGAGGGCGACCGGCCACACUGGGACUGAGACACGGCCCAGACUCCUACGGGAGGCAGCAGUGGGGAAUAUUGCACAAUGGGCGAAAGCCUGAUGCAGCGACGCCGCGUGAGGGAUGACGGCCUUCGGGUUGUAAACCUCUUUCAGCAGGGAAGAAGCGAAAGUGACGGUACCUGCAGAAGAAGCGCCGGCUAACUACGUGCCAGCAGCCGCGGUAAUACGUAGGGCGCAAGCGUUGUCCGGAAUUAUUGGGCGUAAAGAGCUCGUAGGCGGCUUGUCACGUCGGA
rnacentral:rRNA from 1 species